GACGAACGCUGGCGGCGUGCUUAACACAUGCAAGUCGAACGGAAAGACCCUGCUUUUGUGGGGUUCUCGAUUGGCGAACGGGUGAGUAACACGUGAGUAACCUGCCCUUGACUUUGUGAUAACUUCAGGAAACUGCGGCUAAUACCGGAUAGGAGCUACUGCUGCAUGGUGGUGGUUGGAAAGUUUCGGCGGUUGGGGAUGGACUCGCGGCUUAUCAGCUUGUUUGUGGGGUAGUUGCUUACCAAGGCUUUGACGGGUAGCCGGCCUGAGAGGGUGACCGGCGACAAUGGGACUGAGAUACGGCACAGAAUCCUACGGGAGGCAGUAGUGGGGAAUAUUGCACAAUGGGCGGAAGCGUGAUGCAGCAACGCCGGGUGCGGGAUGACGGGUUUCGGGUUGUAAACAGCUUUCGAAUGUGACGAAGAGUGAGUGACGGUAAUGGGUAAAGAAGCACCGGCUAACUACGUG
rnacentral:rRNA from 1 species